rnacentral:lncRNA from 1 species
AAAAAAAAAAGAAAGAAAACAAAAUUGUGAUGUUUCUGAUUGGUGGUCCAAACUUUCCUGAGAACCACUGCAUUGAACAAGGAGAUGAUCUGAGACAGGUGAAACCAGUGGAAUGAAUGUUUAAGAAACCUGCAAGCUUGGGAAAAAAGGCCAGCAACUUGGAAAGAUUAAUCAAAAGGAUAUUUGGGAAGCUUAUCACCUCCACCUCUUGUUUGGUUUGUUUGUUUGUUUGUUUGUUUGUUUGUUUGUUUGUUUUUGAGACAGAGUCUCGCUCUCUCGCCCAGGCUUGAGUGCAGUAACAUGAUCUAGGCUCACUGCAGCCUCUGCCUCCCGGGUUCAAGGAUUCUCCUGCCUCAGCCUCCAGAGUAGCUGGGACUACAGGCACAUGCCACUGUGCCAGACUAAUUUUUGUAUUUUUCUUUUCUUUUUUAGUAGAGACAGGGUUUCACCAUGUUGGACAAGCUGGUCUCAAACUCUUGACCUCAGGUGAUCUGCCCGCCUUGGCCUCCCAAAGUGCUAGAAUUACAGGCAUGAGCCACCAAGCCCAGCCUCUCCUCCACCUCGUAAGUGUUUUCAAAGUAAAGCCAGAAUCCUCAACUGCUUCUGCCCCCAUGAAAUCAUUACCCUUCAAUGAGCCAAUUCAAAUGCUGCUUCUUUUGUGAAGCUUUCUGCCACCACCCUUCCCUCCCAGAAUGUUGUACUUUCCCUGAUCUGCUUCAUAACACCUCCUUCCAAGCACACAUAGGAUUUCACGCAUCCUCUAGUAGCUAGGUGGUACAGGUCUGAUUUCCCAUCAGACUGUGAGCUUUUUGAGGGCAUUCAUAAUGACCUUCUUUUCUGUAGUGCCUACAAUUACAGCAGAAAAGCAGCACUCAAAAUGUUUGUUGAAGCUCUCCAGUGAACUGGGGUUCUAAUUAUUGAGUGAAGAACUUGACACUAAGUGGCUGUUGCCUGCAUUAUCCCAACCCAUCUCUGCAGAGAGAUGGGAGCAGCAGAGGGCGCUGUCACUGCAGGUGUAGGGGCAUUUUUCCUCUCCAUGACAUGCCAGAUGGCCCCCCGGGGCCACAGCUCCACCGUAAGAGUCCCCAAUUUUGUUUUGUUUUUUUACAGUGAGGGUGUUCUAGAGGAAAGGGCUCAACGAAUCCAAUUGCAAUAGCUCCAGUUUGUGAUAAAGAUGACAAUUUUUUUUUAUUUGAGACAGAGUCUGGUUCUGUUGCCCAGGCUGGAGUGCAGUGGCACAGUGUUGACUCACUGCCACCUCCACCCCCGGGGAUUCAAGCAAUUAUCGUGUCUCAGCCUCCCGAGUAGCUGGGAUUACAGACCCCAACCUCCAGCUAACUUUUGUAUUUUCACCAUGUUGGCAAGGCUGGUUUUGAACCCCUGAUCUCAAGUCAUCCUCCUGCCUCAGCCUCUCAAAGUGCUGGGAUUACAGGCAUGAGCCACGGUGCCUGGGCUGACAAAUAUUUAUUAUUGAGUUUGUGGAACCCAGAAUGAUCUAGGGCCUCAGUGGCCACUGAACCCUGGGGCACACUUGAACAAAAAUAUGGGCUUCUCAGCCACUAUGCCUUGACAUCCUCUCUAAUCAGAAGUUUGUGUAAUAAGUGCAAAAGACAAUAUUCACAGUGACAAUGAUACUGUGAACUGCCAUAGGGAGAGUAGACAUGACUGUGGUGACAAUGCAGCGGCAGCAGGACCCUGUCCUCUCAUAAGUGGGCAUCCUUUCCCCAUGUGAACACCACAUAGCAGAAACGCCCAUCUUCCAAAGCCCUUUUAUCAUGUUAUGAAUUAUUUACACUUCCAUAUAUUUCAGUUAAAGAGUGGUAAUCAGAUCUGUAUGGAUGCCACUUGGGUCAUUUGUCAUUUCACUUGAAGGCAAAGAAAUGUUUUUAACUGGUAAGUACAACCUUAUCAUAAAAGUCUAUUUUCUGUAAGAAAUACUGAAAAUAUAUUAAAGACCUCCCUUAGUGCCCUUCAGGACACAUAAGAAUCCUAAUAUACCAGGUUGGGAACCAUUGCUAUAGGAUUUGAAAGGAAUAGUAAAUAGUAUUAUCUGAAAGUGAAGAGGAAGAAGAGAUUCUACUUAAAAAUAUUUGUUAAAUGACUGAAAGAAAUAAAUCUAUGAAGUCGUUUAGAACAUGGUCCUUUAGGGAAAGACCUGCCUGCUGUAGAUUCCAUUCACAUUUUAUACGUUUGUAAUGCCUUACAAAGCUAGUCUUUGCACUUAAAGCUACUGCUAACUGAGCAAUAGAAUCACACCUCAUAAGGCUUAAACUGUGUAUUUAAAGGUUUUGAUAGGGGAUCCAGAAAUCUGAGUGAAACCCUGGGUUCUGCAGGUACACAUGGCUCAUGUAUAAGGCAUUUGAAGGGCUUGUGGCCUUGAUGGGGAACACUGUCAACUCUGAUCCUGUUUGUCUGAGGUUACUUGGGGUACAAGAUGAAGACAGAAGGGCGUGCCUCCCUUCUGGAACCAUCACGGCCAGCAGCCGCAUGUUGGGCAGCUGCUGAUACUCAGGGUGCCCAGGCGGGAGAUGGUGAGAGGCCAGCCCUAGCCAAAUUCCUUGCUGCUGCCAGAGGAAGCAGUCUUGCCAUGUGUGUCCACAGGGAUAAGAUUAGCUGCCGAGGUGGAGCUGAUAUCUGAGCGAGGCUCUCGAGGACACAUUCUGGAUAGAUCUCCAUAUGGGAGUUGGAUGACUGCCACCAGCCAGUCUUGGCAGUCCCCAGAAUUCUUCUGAAGUGGACAGUGGAAGAAGUGAAACAUUUGCCUGGCAGCUGGCAUCAAUGCAGUCUCUCUCUGGACAUGCAGAAGAAAAGGUUCAAAAGGAACUGAACCCAAACCAGUCUUUAUUUGGUUUUAGAUGGAAUUAAAACAUUUUUGUGGGUCUCGACAAGUAUUGCCAGCACUGCACCUGCCA